UAGUUGCCAUCAUUCAGUUGGGCACUCUAGCGAGACUGCCGGUAAUAAACCGGAGGAAGGUGGGGAUGACGUCAAAUCAUCAUGCCCCUUAUGACCUGGGCUACACACGUGCUACAAUGGUUGGUACAACGAGUUGCGAGUCGGUGACGGCGAGCUAAUCUCUUAAAGCCAAUCUCAGUUCGGAUUGUAGGCUGCAACUCGCCUACAUGAAGUCGGAAUCGCUAGUAAUCGCGGAUCAGCACGCCGCGGUGAAUACGUUCCCGGGCCUU
rnacentral:rRNA from 1 species